UAGGGAAUCUUCCGCAAUGGGCGAAAGCUUGACGGAGCAAUGCCGCGUGAGUGAUGAAGGUCUUCGGAUCGUAAAACUCUGUUAUUAGGGAAGAACAAAUGUGUAAGUAACUAUGCACGUCUUGACGGUACCUAAUCAGAAAGCCACGGCUAACUACGUGCCAGCAGCCGCGGUAAUACGUAGGUGGCAAGCGUUAUCCGGAAUUAUUGGGCGUAAAGCGCGCGUAGGCGGUUUUUUAAGUCUGAUGUGAAAGCCCACGGCUCAACCGUGGAGGUUCAUUGGAAACUGGAAAACUUGAGUGCAGAAGAGGAAAGUGGAAUUCCAUGUGUAGCGGUGAAAUGCGCAGAGAUAUGGAGGAACACCAGUGGCGAAGGCGACUUUCUGGUCUGUAACUGACGCUGAUGUGCGAAAGCGUGGGGAUCAAACAGG
rnacentral:rRNA from 1 species